rnacentral:lncRNA from 1 species
UUUUUCUUUCCUUUUCUCUCUCCUUAUCUCACCUCUCUCACUUUACUCUUUCUUCGUUCUCUCAGACUCACUUCUACAGCCACCCUCUAUUCCUAACAAACACUCAUAAAACCACCUUAUUCUUUAGUUUUCGGUUGAAGUUCAACAUGAAACUUCAUACCUUCAUCCAAAACUCCCAAAACUCAUUAAACCAUAUGAACCCUAACCUGAACCCUUCAAACCCUAACCCCGGGUGACAUACCCUAACCUUAACAAUGAAGAACCCUAACUCUACUACAUUAUGCCCAGACGAACCCUAUCAUGAAGAAGAUGAAGAUUUAUCUUCUUCCCUCUAACCCUAAUCUAAUUUAACCUACAUUUAUCCAUAAACCACCCAGAUAAAGCCCCCGGUAACCCUAAACAAUAGAUCCAACCUUAUUUACAACCAAUUAACCCCUCAAACCCUUAACCUAAAUCAAACAGAAACAAAACCUAGACCUACAAUUCACACGCAAGAAACAUCCAUCAACACACUAAUACAAUAUAUGCAAGGAUAACAAUUAUCAUCAGGCAACAAGUAAUGUAACCAACCUACGGAGAGGAGGGAUUCUCCGGUGAAAAAGGUAAAACUUUCUUUG